GUUCCAGCAGCUGGCUUGGUGCUCCUCUCCGCUGCCUGCCAUGGCCCGGGGGCUGCCCAGCGCCGCCAGCCUGGCACGCUUCUGCCAGAAGCUGAACCGCCUGAAGCCACUGGAGGAGUCCGCCAUGGAGACGUCCCUGCGGCGCUGCCUGUCCACGCUGGACCUGACCCUGCUGGGCGUUGGCGGCAUGGUGGGCUCGGGCCUCUACGUGCUCACAGGCACCGUGGCCAAGACCAUGGCCGGCCCUGCCGUGCUCUUGUCCUUCGGCAUAGCCGCCGUGGCCUCCCUCCUGGCGGCCCUGUGCUAUGCAGAGUUUGGGGCGCGUGUGCCCCGCACAGGCUCUGCCUACCUGUUCACCUACGUGUCCAUGGGCGAGCUGUGGGCCUUCCUCAUUGGCUGGAACGUGCUCCUCGAAUACCUCAUUGGCGGCGCCGCUGUGGCCCGAGCCUGGAGCGGCUACCUGGAUUCCAUCUUCGGGCACAGCAUCCGCAACUUCACUCAGGCCCACGUGGGGGUCUGGCAGGUGCCCCUCCUGGGCCACUACCCAGACUUCCUGGCCGCCGGCAUCCUCCUUCUGGCCUCUGCCUUUGUCUCCUGCGGAGCUCGCGUCUCCUCCUGGCUCAACCACACCUUCUCCAUCAUUAGCCUGCUCGUCAUCCUCUUCAUCAUCAUCCUGGGCUUCACCCUGGCCCAGCCUGACAACUGGAGCGCCCGCGAGGGGGGCUUUGCGCCCUUCGGCUUCUCUGGGGUCAUGGCUGGCACCGCCUCCUGCUUCUUUGCCUUCGUGGGCUUUGACGUCAUCGCCGCCUCCAGCGAGGAGGCCCAGAACCCAAGGCGGGCUGUGCCCGUGGCCAUCGCCAUCGCGCUUAGCCUGGCCGCAAGUGCCUACAUCCUGGUCUCCACCGUGCUGACCCUCAUGGUGCCCUGGUACAGCCUGGAGCCGGACUCGGCGCUCGCCGACGCCUUCUACCGGCGGGGCUACCGCUGGGCUGGCUUCAUCGUGGCCACUGGCUCCAUCUGCGCCAUGAACACCGUGCUCCUCAGCAACCUCUUCUCCCUACCACGCAUCGUCUAUGCCAUGGCUGUCGACGGGCUCUUCUUCCAAGUGUUUUCCCAGGUGCAUCCCCGGACGCAGGUGCCUGUGAUUGGCAUCCUGGUGUUCGGGACCCUCAUGGCUCUCCUGGCACUGCUGCUGGACCUUGAGGCGCUGGUCCAGUUCCUGUCCAUUGGCACGCUGCUGGCCUACACCUUUGUGGCCGCCAGCAUCAUUGUGCUGCGCUUCCAGAAGGCUUCUCCACCCAGCUCCCCGGGCCUGGCCAGCCCUGGCCCCCUGUCCAAGGAGCACAGCUCCUUCUCAGACCACCUACAGCUGGUGGGCACUGAGCAGGUGUCAGUCCCCGAGCCUGGGCAGCUGCGACCCGCCCUGAGGCGCUACCUGGGCUUCCUGAGUGGGUGCAGCCCUGGAGCAGCCGUGUCUUGGGCACUCGGCAUCCUGGUCGUCUCAGCCAUCGCCCUGGCCUGUGUGCUGAUCUUCGGGAACUCGGCCCUGCACCUCCCGCAGUGGGGCUAUAUCUUGCUGCUGGUGCUCAGCAGUGCCAUGUUCCUGCUCAGCCUCCUCGUCCUGGGUGCUCACCAGCAACAGCACCGGCAGGACAUGUUUCAGAUCCCCAUGGUGCCCUUGACUCCAGCCCUCAGCAUCUUGCUCAACAUCUGCCUCAUGCUGAAGCUCAGCUACCUGACCUGGGUGCGCUUCUGCAUCUGGCUGCUAAUUGGACUCGCGGUGUAUUUUGGCUACGGCAUCCGGCACAGCAAGCAGAGCCAGCAGGAGGCCCCGGGACCCACCGCCACGAGAUAUGUAGUGUUCCCCAGCGGCAGUCUGGAGGAGACGGUGCAGGCUGUGCAGCCCCCCAGCCAGGCGCCAGCCCUGGUGCCCGCCCCCACGGAGUAGCCAGCCAGCCCUCACUUGCCCUGCCCUCCCCAUCUCCUCAGGAGCCCCUUCUAUCCAGGACAGCUUUGGUUUGCCUCCUCAGUCUGGGGGCCUCAGGACCUUAGAACUUAGCUCAGGCACUGAGCUCAGGUCAUCAGGAGGGAGCCUUGGCCCGUGCCGGUGCGGCGGGCUCAGCCCAGUGCCUUCCCACUUCUGACCAGCUACCUGGGCAGGUGAGGUGGGGUAGGCGGGGAGGCCCCAGCCCUAGGCAUCCACAAUAAUAAUGGCUCAGCCAGCCAUGUGGCCUGCUGCCGUGUCCACUGUGGCAUUCUUUGUGGCACUGAAUCCUCAUCUACCCCUAGGAACUUGUCCCCAAGUACAACUGUCCCCAAUCCACAUCGGAGACCCCAAGACUCUGCAAAGUGGAGGCACCAGCCCUCAGACCACCUUGAGUUAGGGACAUGGCCAGGCCUGGGUCAAGUGUCCUCCACUCAGGCCAAGGCCCCCCACCCAGCUCUGAGGGGCGGUGCACAGCCCUAACACCCCAGGUGAGAAGGGGCCAAUGGCAGGAGUGGCGGUCACGAUCCCCACGCAUUUGCUUCUGGGGCAGAGCCUGGGCCCCGGCGAGGCUGCCUAGAAAUGGCAGUGGGGUUCCAGGUUCUGCUGGGUUUCCCAGGGCUCCCUAAGAGUAUGGCAGGUGCCCAAGGCCUGCCCAGAAAUAUAGACGCACACUGGUACUCAGGCACGCACACCCCUCCAGACAUGCACCCACAAGGCCCGCACGGACCACCCUAGGGGUACACGCCAUGCAGAUGGAGGCCAUAGGUGUUUCCAAGCUCAGGCUCCGGCCUCGGCUCUCUGGCUACCACAGCUCACUGUUUUGCUGCUUCCUCUGCUCUCUCUUUAAGGGCUGUGAGAUAAAGGCUCGAGAUGCUGCACGCGCAUGUGGUACUCACGCCCCCGUGGGGGUGCACAGUACUGGGCUUGCUCCAGCCUACCUGGAGCUCAGGGGCCAGGAAAGCCCCAGGCCCGCCCUGUGCCACCCCACUGGUCUCCCAAGGCUGUGCCGUGUCCACCACAGAAGCCUCCCUCUUCCCGUUCCUGCCUGUAAGGACUACACGGGAAGCCACCGGCUUUCUUGGCUUUACUUGACUUCUCCAGCUGUGACAUCAGCUUUCUCUAGGCCCCAAGGACAACCAGGGUGCCAAGGCAUGCAUCGUCUGGGGGACCCAGGCCGACAUCUGAAGCCAGAGGGAGCCCACAGUGCAGACUCACCACACCCAGCCACGCUGCCCCGGUACCCAGAGUGAUGGCCGUCGGGAUGAGCCCGAACUUCCCUGCCUGGGAGAGACCUGGGCUGAGCCCCUUGGGCCACGCGUGCUGCUCCAUGUCCCUCCCACCCCCGGCCAGACCCCUACCUCCCCAGUGACGAGGAUGUCGAAGCGGAUCCCAUAGAGCUUGAGCAGGCUCCGGGCCUCCACGCCGGGGGCCUGCCACCAGUGUGUGGCCAUCCUGGGGGCAGAAGAGGGCUCUGGUGGCCUGCUCUGCCCCGCCCCCCGGCUGGGCUGGGCUGCUGGCUCCGUAAACCCCAGCCCAAACCCGAGUCCUGGGUCUGGGCUCUUUGUCAUUGCUGAGCAAACAGGGAAAGGAAGCUGAGACCUGCCUCUCAGGCACUCCCUGACUGCUGAGGGGACAGGGGGACAGAAGGGUCCCUAAGAGACACCACCGUGGGGGAUUGAAGGAGAAGGAGAGGGCAGGCCAAAGCCUGUGAGAACACAGAAGCAGUAGCUCACUGUCUCCUGGGAACUGGGCAGGCUUCCUCGGGGGAGACACUGGAAGGUGUGCAGGCAGGUGGUUUGCCAGCUUGGUGGUGGGGUGAGGCGAGAGGCAGGGGGAGAGGACACAGGCAAGAGCCAGCCCCACAUGGUCUCGAGAGGCUGGGGAGGUCAGGGAAGCCAGACGAAUCCAGGGGUCUCCUUAGAAGACUCAAAGUCAUGACAAUAAAUGCAGUUUAAGAUC